rnacentral:rRNA from 1 species
GAUGAACGCUAGCGGCAGGCCUAAUACAUGCAAGUCGAACGGUGUCUUCGGACAUAGUGGCGCACGGGUGCGUAACACGUAUGCAACCUACCUUACAUUGGGGGAUAGCCUUCCGAAAGGGAGAUUAAUACCGCAUAAGACAGUAGCUGGGCAUCCAGCAGCUGUUAAAGAUUUAUCGAUGUAAGCUGGGCAUGCGUCCAAUUAGCUAGUUGGUGAGGUAACGGCUCACCAAGGCAAUGAUUGGUAGGGGAACUGAGAGGUCAAUCCCCCACACUGGCACUGAGAUACGGGCCAGACUCCUACGGGAGGCAGCAGUAGGGAAUAUUGGGCAAUGGACGCAAGUCUGACCCAACCAUGCCGCGUGCAGGAUGAAGGCGUUAUGCGUUGUAGACUGCUUUUAUACAGGAAGAAACGACUCUUGCGAGGGGCAUUGACGGUACUGUAUGAAUAAGCACCGGCUAACUCCGUGCCAGCCGCCGCGGUAAUAC